rnacentral:SRP_RNA from 1 species
UUCUCAGACCUGUGCAAUGUUUUCUUUAAGCAAAGCUUCAGGGUGGGAACACAGCAGAGCACUUGAAUUUAAUGUGUGCCGCAGUCAUCUGGGGAGAGG